rnacentral:tRNA from 1 species
GUGGGGGCUUGGGGACGGGCUGCCCCAAGCUAUCAACGUGGGGCGGGCGCCCCCGGUUCCACCCGGGUUCCCAGG